GAAGGGUCCACUUCCGGCAGCGAGGGGGCUUGGGGGAAGCUGAGCAGCAGGCACCAUGUCCGGUCGCGAGGGUGGUAAGAAGAAGCCUCUGAAGCAGCCCAAGAAGCAAACCAAGGAAAUGGAUGAGGAAGAUAUAGCUUUCAAACAAAAACAAAAAGAAGAACAGAAAAAACUGGAAGAGUUAAAAGCAAAAGCUGCUGGGAAGGGACCACUCGCCAGUGGUGGAAUUAAGAAAUCUGGCAAAAAGUAAACGUUCCUGUGUAGAUAUGAUGGUGAUUCCUGUCGGUUUCUUUCUUGCUUUGUGACAUCUACAUUUCCUACUUCAACAUCUGUUGCCACCUACAGUCAAGAUUGUCAUCUUAAUGAGUCUAUUGUACAUUGUAAUAAACUUUUUUUAAAAAUCAUA